rnacentral:lncRNA from 1 species
AAAGAGACUUGACUAAGUUAUCACAUUAUGAAUGAUAAUUCCAAUAGUAGAUGAGCACCGGGCUUUUGGGCCUCCAAUGAUCAUCAUACUAAUGGACCCAUUAUCAUCCAACUUAAUGGGAGGCUAUGAUCCAGUUAUUAUCAUAACUAGCUCAUUUUAGAGAUCUAAUAAUUUAGAAGAUUUAAUUAAUUUUGGAGAAGAGAGAAGAAGAAAUCAAUUAGCAGACCACAUUCCUCUCACUGACUUCACCAAGUCACUGAAUUGGAUUUGGGUCAUGCUGAUUGAACUGGCAUCU